rnacentral:rRNA from 1 species
AUUGAACGCUGGCGGCAGGCCUAACACAUGCAAGUCGAGCGGAUGAAGGGAGCUUGCUCCUGGAUUCAGCGGCGGACGGGUGAGUAAUGCCUAGGAAUCUGCCUGGUAGUGGGGGAUAACGUCCGGAAACGGGCGCUAAUACCGCAUACGUCCUGAGGGAGAAAGUGGGGGAUCUUCGGACCUCACGCUAUCAGAUGAGCCUAGGUCGGAUUAGCUAGUUGGUGGGGUAAAGGCCUACCAAGGCGACGAUCCGUAACUGGUCUGAGAGGAUGAUCAGUCAACAGGGAAAGGAGAAAGGGGCCAAAACCCUAGGGGGGGGAGAGGGGGGGAAUUUUGGAAAAGGGGGGAAAGCCGUAUCCAGCCAGGCCGGGGGUGGGAAGAAGGUUUUCGGAUUGUAAAACAAUUUAAGGGGGGGGGAAGGGAAAGAAGUUAAAACCUUGCUGUUUGGACGUUACCAACAAAAAAAGCACAGGCAAAAUUCUG